GGGUCUCCAAACUACACUUCCCACAAUCCCCGCUGCGGACGACUCCCAGGAUGCGCCGGAGCGCUCCCCCUGUAACUGGCUGAGAGAGUGACGGGCAUGCUGCACAGAAGAGGAGGAGUAAGCUUGAGGGGCUUCCUCACACGGCACGACGUUUUACCGGUAUUGAAUAUGUGAAAGUUCUAUAGCUAUCUCUCUUCAGUCUGGUAUGUGAUCAGAGAUUUCAAUACUUCUGGAUGUGGGGUUUGGACGCAGCAUGGUUGAUGGUGAGAGAGAAGAGUUUUUGGUUCCCCAUUCCAAUGCUCACAAAGGAGAGAUCAUGUGAGCACACAGGAAGAUGGUGGGACCCAUAAGCCAGGAGAAGAUGUCUCAGAAUUACACAGGCCCUGCUGGCAUCUCGAUCUUGGACUUACCAGUCUCCAGAACUGUG